AGAAUUGCUCAUUUAUGCGUGUCAAUUGCAUGAAUGGUAGAGAGAGAUCCUCACCCUCUUCUUUGUUUUCAUAUGUUAUUCUCCGUUGUUGAUCUUUAUGUGUUUUGGAAAAUGUUUAUGUGAAACCUAUCUUGUUUGCUGUAAUUUAAGUGAAAUUCGUGCUCUAAAUCAUACUGAAAUUUGUUCAUGAUUUGAAUAUGUAAAUCUGGAUACUGUUGUUCAUGUUAAUAUGAUUUGG
rnacentral:lncRNA from 1 species